rnacentral:rRNA from 1 species
CCGCGGGAUUAGAGUUUGAUCCUGGCUCAGGACGAACGCUGGCGGCGUGCCUAACACAUGCAAGUCAAGGAGGUGUAGCAAUACAUCAACUGGCGCACGGGUGCGGAACACGUAGGUAAUCUGCCUCUUAGGGGAGAACAACCAGUCGAAAGAUUGGCUAAAUCUCCGUAAAGUCGCAAUGUGGCAUCACAUUGCGACCAAGUUCUCUAAGAGAUGAGCCUGCGUCUGAUUAGCUAGUUGGUAGUGUAACGGACUACCAAGGCUACGAUCAGUAGCUGGUCUGAGAGGAUGAUCAGCCACAUUGGGACUGAGACACGGCCCAGACUCCUACGGGAGGCAGCAGUGAGGAAUAUUGCUCAAUGGACGAAAGUCUGAAGCAGCAACGCCGCGUGAGGGAUGAAGGUGCUCUGCAUCGUAAACCUCUGUAGUCGGGGAAAAAUGACGAACGAUCGUUCGUUUGAUGGUACCCGAAAAGUAAGGAUCGGCUAACUACGUGCCAGCAGCCGCGGUAAUACGUAGGAUCCAAGCGUUGUCCGGAUUUACUGGGUGUAAAGGGUGCGCAGGCGGACUUAUAAGUUAGAGGUGAAAUCUCACGGCUCAACCGUGAAACUGCCUUUAAUACUGUAGGUCUUGAAUUGGGGAGAGAGAUGUGGAAUUCCGAGUGUAGCAGUGAAAUGUGUAGAUAUUCGGAAGAACACCAGUGGCGAAGGCAGCAUCUUGGCCCCACAUUGACGCUCAGGCACGAAAGCAUGGGGAUCAAACAGGAUUAGAUACCCUGGUAGUCCAUGCCCUAAACGAUGAUCACUUGAUGUCGGCCGCAAGGUCGGUGUCGAAGCUAACGCGAUAAGUGAUCCA